AUCCUUGCGGGAGGAGCGCUGUCGUUGCACGUGACGCUUUGCGGAUGCGCGAUUAUUGCUAGUUGAAAACUACUCCAAUUCCAGUCUAAGAUGCUUAUUGUAUUCUUAGCAAUUUUUGAGGCUUCCGAGCU